GGGCACUUGGUCGAAUGGGAAGACAGCAGGAAACCUUGAGUGGGACCUGCAGGCCUGGGUUCGAUCCCCAGAGUGUCCA